rnacentral:rRNA from 1 species
UGCAGUCGAGCGAGGUCCAUCCGGUGGCAACACCGGGGAAGACCUAGCGGCGAACGGGUGAGUAACACGUGAGCAACCUGCCCCGAAGACUGGGAUAACACCGGGAAACCGGUGCUAAUACCGGAUGCCCUCCUCUGGUCGCAUGGCCUAGGGAGGAAAGGAACCUUGCUUCGGGAGGGGCUCGCGGGCUAUCAGCUUGUUGGUGAGGUAACGGCUCACCAAGGCGACGACGGCUAGCUGGUCUGAGAGGACGACCAGCCACACUGGGACUGAGACACGGCCCAGACUCCUACGGGAGGCAGCAGUGGGGAAUCUUGCGCAAUGGGCGAAAGCCUGACGCAGCAACGCCGCGUGGGGGAUGAAGGCCCUCGGGUUGUAAACCCCUUUCAGCAGGGACGAAUCUGACGGUACCUGCAGAAGAAGCCCCGGCCAACUACGUGCCAGCAGCCGCGGUAAUACGUAGGGGGCGAGCGUUGUCCGGAUUUAUUGGGCGUAAAGAGCUCGUAGGCGGCUUGGCAAGUCGGGUGUGAAACCUCCAGGCUCAACCUGGAGACGCCACUCGAUACUGCCAUGGCUAGAGUCCGGUAGGGGACCACGGAAUUCCUGGUGUAGCGGUGAAAUGCGCAGAUAUCNNAGGAACACCGGUGGCGAAAGGCGGUGGUCUGGGCCGGCACUGACGCUGAGGAGCGAAAGCGUGGGUAGCAAACAGGAUUAGAUACCCUGGUAGUCCACGCCGUAAACGUUGGGCACUNNUGUGGGACCUUAUCAACGGGUUCCGUGCCGUAGCUAACGCAUUAAGUGCCCCGCCUGGGGAGUACGGCCGCAAGGCUAAAACUCAAAGGAAUUGACGG